rnacentral:rRNA from 1 species
GCUUACGGCCAUACCACAUUAGGCACGCCCGAUCUCGUCUGAUCUCGGAAGCUAAGCAGGGUCGGGCCUGGUUAGUACUUGGAUGGGUGACCGCCUGGGAAUACCAGGUGCUGUAAGCA